rnacentral:rRNA from 1 species
AACGAACGCUGGCGGCAUGCCUAACACAUGCAAGUCGAACGAAACCUUCGGGUCUCUUGGCGCUCGGGUGCUUAACGCCUGGCAGCCUACCCUUGGGUUCGGAAUCUCUCCCCGAAAGGGGUGCUAAUACCGGAAACGAUCUUCGGACCAACGACUUAUCUGCUUUGGGUGGGCCUGCGUUGGAUUAGAUGGUUGGUAGAGUAAAAGCCUACCAAGGAGACGAUGCAUAGCUGGUCUGAGAGGAUGAUCCGCCACACUGGGACUGAGACCCGGCCCAGAACCCUAGGGGAGGAAGCAGUGGGGAAUAUUGGACGACGGGCGAAAGACUGAGCCAGCCAUGCCGCGUGAGUGAUGAAGGCGGGAGGGUUGUAAAGCUCUUUUAUCCGGGAUGAUAAUGACAGUACCGGGAGAAUAAGCCCCGGCUAACUACGUG